rnacentral:rRNA from 1 species
GACGAACGCUGGCGGCGUGCUUAACACAUGCAAGUCGAACGGAAAGGCCCUGCUUGCAGGGUACUCGAGUGGCGAACGGGUGAGUAACACGUGGGUGAUCUGCCCUGCACUUCGGGAUAAGCCUGGGAAACUGGGUCUAAUACCGGAUAGGAGCCAUUUUUAGUGUGAUGGUUGGAAAGUUUUUUCGGUGUAGGAUGAGCUCGCGGCCUAUCAGCUUGUUGGUGGGGUAAUGGCCUACCAAGGCGGCGACGGGUAGCCGGCCUGAGAGGGUGGACGGCCACAUUGGGACUGAGGGACGGCCCAGACUCCUACGGGAGGCAGCAGUGGGGAAUAUUGCACAAUGGGCGCAAGCCUGAUGCAGCGACGCCGCGUGGGGGAUGACGGCCUUCGGGUUGUAAACUACUUUCGCUAGGGACGAAGCUUUUUGUGACGGUACCUAGAGAAGAAGCACCGGCUAACUACGUG